rnacentral:ncRNA from 1 species
AUAAAUAAUUGAAACUUAGAUGUUCGGGAAAAAGAUGAAAACUCUUUGCUGUCCCAGCAACUGUAAUACUAAUGAACGUUGAAUUACCCAUUGAAAUCAAUUUUGAGAAGGGCAACUAGUAAAAUGAAGUUAAGCCAGUAGACCGGUCUGAUUUUCAAAAAUUAA